AGAGUUUGAUCCUGGCUCAGGAUGAACGUUGGCGGCGUGCCUAAUACAUGCAAGUCGAACGGUAGUUGAGCAUUCGUGCUUGAUGAGAGUGGCGAACGGGUGAGUAACACGUAACUGAUCUGCCCUUUAGACUGGGAUAACCUUUGGAAACAGAGGCUAAUACCGGAUGAGUUCGCGGUAGUUAGAGAGCCGUGAGGAAAGGCUAAUGCGCUAAGGGAUGAGGUUGCGGGCCAUCAGCUAGUUGGUGAGGUAAAGGCUCACCAAGGCGAUGAUGGUUAGGGGAUCUGAGAGGGUGGCCCCCCACACUGGGACUGAGACACGGCCCAGACUCCUACGGGAGGCAGCAGUAAGGGAUAUUGCACAAUGGACGGAAGUCUGAUGCAGCGACGCCGCGUGGGUGAAGAAGGUUUUCGGAUCGUAAAGCCCUUUUCUAUGUGACGAGAGAGGACGGUAGCAUAGGAAUAAGUGUCGGCUAACUACGUGCCAGCAGCCGCGGUAAAACGUAGGACGCGAACGUUAUCCGGAGUUACUGGGCGUAAAGCGCGCGUAGGCGGUUGGUUAANUUACCUAUGAAAGAUACAGGCUAAACUUGUAUUGGUUAGGUGAAACUGGCUAA
rnacentral:rRNA from 1 species